rnacentral:sRNA from 1 species
GGAGUAUGCUUUAACCCAAGGAUAUUGCUAUAAAUGAAGUAUUUUUUUAUGCUUGAGAGAAACUAAAAUGUUAGGAAAAUCAGGGCCGCUGUGACUCUCUUGACCACUGACUGGGUCGGAUGAGGGUGGGUCUUUUCUAUAAUUGAUUCAGUGGAAACUAACCUGAAAUUGGGGUGGGUGGGGGGAUAAACUUUUACAGGGUGAUGUUAUAGGUCUGGAGCGGGGCGGGGGAAAGACCGAGGUGAUGGUGAUGGAAGGUGUGACUACUGUUGCCUACACAUUGGAUGAGGGCCUCAUCGAGUUUGGAACAGCCAUUGAUGAUGGCAACUACAUCCGGGCAACAGCCUUCUUAGAGACUCUGGAAAUGACCCCAGAAACAGAGGCAAUGUGGAAAACCUUGAGUAAACUGGCACUAGAGGCAAGGCAACUACACAUUGCGGAGAGGUGAGGUAGACAUGUAGAACAGAGGUGCCACGCAGCUAGGAGGGAUAAUCACACGAGUAUUUUCCCUGUGGGCUACUCCAAUCCGGUGUUAAGGUACUCCCUCCCUUCCCACUGCCAGCAAAUAGCAUAGAGCCCUUCUGCAGUACAAUAUUCCAAACACUCUCCCAUCCUAGAUUAUAAGAGUAUGCCUUGACCAGGCAUGGUGGCUG